CUGACAUACACAGAUAAGAAACAAUGAUUUCUCUUAUACUAAUGCUGGGGACACUGGGUCUGCUUGCUCAAGUGUCUCAUGAAGAGGUUCAGUCUCCUGAGUCUCUGUCUGUUAAAGCAGGAGAUUCUGCUUCUAUCAGCUGCACUGGGACCAGUGGAGUUGAUGAUGACAUGAGCUGGUAUCUGCUGAAACCUGGAGAAGCUCCUAAACUCCUGCUCUAUAAAGCAAAUCGACUUCAUUCUGGAGUCCCAGAUCGGUUCAGUGGAAGUCAGAAUGGACUUCAUUUUACACUGAAUCUAAGUGGAGUCCAAACUGAGGAUGCAGGAGAUUAUUACUGUAUGGGGGCUUACAGUGGUGGAGUGUGCACACAGUGAAAGAGCUUCAUACAAAAACCUCC